GUUUUGCCUGCAAAUGUGAACCCUGACCUAAAGACGGCUGCUCAAAAUAGCCCUCAUCCUCUUUGCCUAAGCCUGAUAUGCAAGCUUUUAUCUCAGUUGCCCCUGGUCACCUGCCUUUCUUACUUGACUCUGCAGUUCUCCAGGUGGCUAUUCCUGGAUGGCACUCAUCCAGAAAGGGUCAUUGCUCUUUUUUCUCUUUAUUUCACUACCAGAGAUUAUUUCGAUAACAUUAUGAUUUACAAACCAUAAAAUUCAUACAUUUCAAGUGUACAAUUCAAUGACUUUUUAAUACAUUUACCAGGUUGUGCAACCGUUACUGAAAUCCAGUUUUAGAACAUUUUUGUCAUCCCGGUUAGAUCCUUUAUGCCCAAGUAGUUAAUUACCAUCUUCACCACCAACUCCAGGUACCCACUAAUCUACAUUCUAUCUUUAUAGAACUGCCUUUUCAGGAUAUUUCACUUAAUCAGACUAUACCCAGUCAUUUGUGUCUGGCUUCUUUCACUUAUAAUGUUUUUGAGAUUCAUCCAUGAUAUGGCAUGUCAGUGAUUUUUGUGAUGGUGGGUUCCUGCUGCCCCCACCCCCAAAAUUCCUUAAAGGUGCUAAGCAACCUGCUCUUUGAAUAACCACCCCGCUUUUCCCUAGGCUCUCCUGCUGUCAGUUUCCCACAGUGUUGUCGGCUUUCAUCUCUCAGUGGCUUCACCUGACUGAGCUGCCUGCCAUCUCUAGUGUAUCCUCCAGGCCUCGCCUGGCUCCCUGUUCCCCCCACACUGGCUUCCUGCUCUUCCUCCAAAGGCCUGGCUGGUUCCUGCCUCAGGCUCUGCCCAUUGCUGCUGUCCUCACCAACCCCCAAAACGUUGCCCAUUGUUUGUCCCCUCAUUCCGUUCGGGUCUUUGUCCGAAUGUUGCUUCCUGAAAGAGGCACCCUGACCUCGACUCAAAUAGCAUUCCUUCUCACGGACUAUUCAUUUGCCCCACUUUGUUUCUUCACAGCUCUUUUUAUUCCUGUUUCUUGUUAAUUCCUGAAAUUAUACUUUGUUUAUUAUCUUGUUAAUAGACUCGUGGGUAUCUUAGUCUGUUUAAGCUGCUAUAAGAAAAUACCAUAAACUGGUGGGUUGUCAACAACAGAAAUUGCUCUCUCACAGUCCUAGAGUCUGGGACAUCUAAGAUCAAGGCACUGGCAGAUUUGGUGUCUAAUGAGGGUUGCUUCCUGGUUCAUAGGUGACACCGUCUCCUGUGUCCUCACAUGGUGGAAGGGAUGGGGCGGGGGGGUCUCUCCUUGGGCUCUAAUAUAAAGGCACCAGUCCCAUUCAUGAGGAUUCCGCUCUCAUGACCCAUCGCCUCCUGAAGGCCCUGCCUCCUAAUUCCAUCACUUUGGGAUUUACGAUUUCAACAUAUACAUUUCGGGGAGGACAUAAACACUCAGACAACAGCAGUAAGAGAGCUGUUUCGGCUGGGCAUGGUGGCUCAUGCCUGUAAUCCCAGCAUUUUGGGAGGCUGAGGUGGGUGGAUCACCUGAGGUCAGGAGUUCAAGACCAGCCUGGCCAACAUGGUGAAACCCCAUCUCUACUAAAAAUACAAAAAGAUUAGCCGGGAAUGAUGGUAUGCGCCUGUAAUACCAGCUACUGGGAAGGCUGAGGCAGGAGAAUCACGUGAACCCAAGAGGUGGAGGUUGCAGUAAGCUGAGAUAGCGCCAUUGCACUCCAGCCUGGGCCGUAACAGCAAAACUCCAUCCCAAAAAAAGAGUGCAGUAUCCAAGGCCCAGCUCCUGGGGUUACUGCCCUGCCUGCCCACCUCCUGGCUGGGGAACUUGGACCUUUGCCAAAUGGGGAAAAGGUAUUAUGUGCUUCCUAAGGUUGUGUGAGGACAAACAUUCAUCCACACAGAGUGCUUGCAGCGGGUGGCACAGGGUAAACAUGAGCAAGAUAAUUUACCAUCUGUCUCCUCCCUGGAAUAUCAACUGGAUGAGGGCAGGACAUUUUCUCUCUGCACCUUCAGCCCCUGAGAUAUGGAGGAUGAGAAUGGCUCAAUGUUCCUCCUUCAAGGGCCUCAGUCCUCAUCCCACUGGCCUGACCACCCCAACAGUAUGACCUUUGCCUCUUUACAGCAACCUCCACAGCUUUCCAGCCUGUCCUUAACCUGCCUUUGAGUCUUUGCAACUCCUUCUGGGCAUUAGCUAUGUGGCCUGCUGGGAACUUCCAGAGGCUGGUAAAACUGACAAACCUUGAGAGACUGGUGACAGGCUUCCUUAGUUGAAACUUAUCCUUUUCAAACUUGUAGCACCAUGUGUGUGUAGCUGCUUAAGCUUUAGUGGGAGUAUUUAAGAAACAUGAUUAAUUGGAAAGUUUUAUAAUAUUCCAGGUAAGUCCAUAGUGAACAUAAAUGUGACUUUAUCUUGCUAAGGUAACAAAUGCUCUGGUGUGCUUAGCAGGGCCUUGUGACAAAGCAGUGAGGCCACCUGUGCAACAUGUACAACUUUUUCUUUUUCAAAACAGUCCUAAAAAAACUAAACAUAUAAGUCCUCUGUGAUCGAGCAAUUCCACUACUGGGUAUGAAUCCAAAAGAAAGGAAAUCAGUAUAUCAAAAAGAUAUCUGCACUCCUGUGUCUACUGCAGCACUAUCCACAACAGCCAAGAUAGGGAAUCAACCCACGUGCCCAUCAGCAGAUGAACAGAUGAAGAAAAUGUGGUACAUAUAUACAAUGGAAUAUGAUUUAGCCAUGAAAAAGACUGAGAUCCUGUCAUUUGCAGCAACAUGGAUGGAACUGAAGGUCAAUAUGGUAAGUGAAAUAAGCCAGGCACAGGAAGACAAAUAUCCCAUGUUCUCCACUCAUGUGGGAGCUAAAAAAGCAGGCAGAGAAAGGGAGGAUGAAGAGAUUAAUGCCUACAAAUAUACAGUUUGAAAGAAGACCUAGUGUUAGAUCAGUAGGGUGUCUAUAGUUUACAAUAAUCUACUGUGCAUUUCAAAAUAGCUAGAAGAGAGUAAUCAUAAGAAAGAGCCAAAGGGCAGAGCACAGGAUACAGAAAAGUGGGAUCAAAUAGAGAAGAAUCCCUUAGAGUUCUGGGUAGGAGCCCAAUCUCAAGUCUUAUUUCUAAUGUUUAAAGCUCCCCCUACUCCCCAAAAUACCUUUAGUUGGUGGGAUUAGUUGUCCUGUGAAAAUCUAGACACAAAAAUUAGGUUGGAAAAGAGAACUCGUAACUGGAGGCCAAUCAUGCUAGGCAUUAAAAACGUAUUACUGUAUUCCUCCUCCUCCUCAUCAGUUGCUAAGUGACAUUUGGGAUUUGAACCCAGUCCUGAUAUCUGAAGCUCACACACUACACACUGUAUUUUCUGCUGUAAAGCAGACCUCAGAAAGUAUGGUUAGAUUCUGUGCAACCUUGAAAAUGCUCUGGACUCAGUGGGUCCAACUCAGCUAUUUGUACUUCACACCACACAGCUAGUCUAGGAAAGAGGCUGCCUCUGGCUUGACCAUGCAAAUGUAUUUUCUUUCUUUCCUGCCAUGCUGGUCAGCAGUUACACCAAAGCUAGCUAGUAUCAGUAUCUGAGUAGAUGGUGAUGACGACAGAGUCUCAGCAUGCAACACUAGCUACUGGCACACUUUGUUUCCAGAGGAGUUAUGGUGAAUCUUAUACUCAAUGACAACUGUAUUAUGUACCGUACUAAAUAGUAACGGAAAACAUGAUUCCAGUAGAGAAAAACCAAGCCAUAUAGCUGUCUUUCAAUAUGCUUGGUAUGCAGUGAUAUGCUUGAUAGAAAAUGGUAUGUCUAAUUUUUGACCAUAACUUGAAACGUAGAGAAUGAGAGAGUGCUCUUAAAAGCACAUACAUAUACAACUUGGAAGAUGGGACUUACUUGGAAAAGUACAAAUUAUUGGAAUAAUGAAGUAAUCUUUUAAGCUAUUUUAUAUAAGGUUAAGAUACUAUAUAAAAUAAUAAUUUUUAUCAUAUCAUCUGAUAAAGCAAGACAAAGGAAAAAAAACUGUUUUAAGUUAGAUCAGCAUUUCCCAAACUGAUACUCAAAGGAACAUUGUUUCAUGAAAUGUUAAAAUAUAUGCCUUGAAAAAAAUUUUAUGGAUGAAAGUUUAAGGAAUAGUAUAUCUUAAAAAUCUUGGGGGUGGGCAAACCAAAACUUUUUUUUUUUUUUUUCCAGUAAGUAAGUAUGACUAUUUCUAUUUCCAGGAGUGAUCUAUGCAGGAGAAACAGCUUGGGAAAUGCUGAAAUUUCUGACUGUAAGAAAUGCUUGGAUAUAUGUAUCUGUUUGUUUGGAUAAUUUACUCAUGUGAUCUCUUGGAACCAAGGAUCCUUGGAUCCAAGGAACUCUGAUUUCUAGGAAUACUUUGUAAACAAAUCAAUAUACAAAUAGGUGAAUAAUCUGAAUUUUCCAGCCCAGUGAUUUUUGAAAGGAGGCAUCCAAACCAAAAGAGCCCCAGAUCAGAUUUUUACCCAACUAAGUGGUCAGUGUUUGUUUAUGACAGUGAACCCCCUCUGACAGCUUCAUCACCUCUAACAAACAAACAAACAAGGGAGACAGAGUGGAUGAACAACUUAUUUUCAAAGCUAACAAACAUUCUAUGACUUAACUGCUUGAAAACU
rnacentral:lncRNA from 1 species